rnacentral:rRNA from 1 species
GAUGAACGCUGGCGGCGUGCCUAAUACAUGCAAGUCGAGCGAACAGACGAGGAGCUUGCUCCUCUGUCGUUAGCGGCGGACGGGUGAGUAACACGUGGAUAACCUACUUAUAAGUCUGGGAUAAUUUCGGGAAACCGGAGCUAAUACCGGAUAAUAUCUUGAACCGUAUGGUUCAAUAGUGAAAGACGGUUUUGCUGUAACGUAUCGAUGGAUCUGCGCCGCAUUAGCUAGUUGGUAAGGUAACGGCUUACGAAGGGGACGCUGCGUAGACGACCUGAGAGAGGGAUCGGCCACACUGGAACUUGACCACGGACCAGAGUCCUACGGGACGCAGCAGUAUGGAAUCUGCCGCAAUGGGCGAAAGCCUGGCGGAGCAACGCCACGUGAGUGAUGAAGAUCUUCGGAUCGUAAAACUCUGUUAUUAGGUAAAAACAAAUGUGUAAGGAACUAUACACGUCUUGACGGUACCGAAUCAGAAAGCCACGGCUAACUACGUG